GGGGAUUUAGCUCAGUGGUAGAGUGCUUGCCUAGCAAGUGUAAGGCCCUGGAUUCAGUCCCCA
rnacentral:tRNA from 1 species